UACGUAGGGUGCGAGCGUUGUCCGGAAUUAUUGGGCGUAAAGGGCUCGUAGGCGGUUUGUCGCGUCGGGAGUGAAAACCCAGGGCUUAACUCUGGGCUGGCUUUCGAUACGGGCAGACUAGAGGCAUGCAGGGGAGAACGGAAUUCCUGGUGUAGCGGUGAAAUGCGCAGAUAUCAGGAAGAACACCAAUGGCGAAAGCAGCUCUCUGGGACGGUACUGACGCUGAGACGCGAAAGCGUGGGGAGCGAACAGG
rnacentral:rRNA from 1 species